GUGCUCACUUAGGCAGCACAUAUACUAAAAUUGGAAAGAUAUAGAGAAGAUCAGCAUGGCCCCUGUGCAAGGAUGACAUGGAAAUUCGUGAAGCAUUCCAUAUUUUU
rfam:Tupaia chinensis contig208536, whole genome shotgun sequence.